rnacentral:lncRNA from 1 species
GUCUUACUAAGUUGCCAAGGCUGGUCUCAAACUUGUGGUCCUCCUGCCUCAGCUUCCCAAGUGGCUGGGAUUACAGACAUGCACCAUGGAACCUGGCUGGGUGCAUCACUUUUAACCCCAGGAAAAAGAUUCCAUCCAGAAGCUGAGUCACACACCCAAAGCCAAAGAUGACAAGAGCCAGGAUUUGAACUCAGAACUCUGACUUCAAAGCCUGUACUUACUGCCACUGUGGAGCAUGGGAGACUUGGAGCAGUGACAUGGUGGCUGCUCCUCAUUCUGAGGGCACCAAAGAUGCAGAGACUGAUGGAUGCUCCGUGGAAAAUGGGGGAAUGCAGUCUGGUCAGGCACGUUUUAUGGGUGAGGAUACUGAUAACUGGGGAAGGGGGAAUGACCCACCAGGUUGCUACUGGGGCCAGCUCACCUGAGUCCCAGGCUGGGUAUUUUUCUGUUCCUAGCAGGCUGGGUCUUCCACCUGGCACAGAGUAACUGGUCAAUAAACUCACUGAAUGAGAGAAGGAAUGUCUCCUGUCACCCAGAGUGAGUUGUCACAGACUCUACCCUACUGCUCCACAUCUGAC